rnacentral:rRNA from 1 species
GAUGAACGCUGGCGGCGUGCCUAAUACAUGCAAGUCGAGCGAACGGACGAGAAGCUUGCUUUUCUGAUGUUAGCGGCGGACGGGUGAGUAACACGUGGAUAACCUACCUAUAAGACUGGGAUAACUUCGGGAAACCGGAGCUAAUACCGGAUAAUAUUUUGAACCGCAUGGUUCAAAAGUGAAAGACGGUCUUGCUGUCACCUAUAGAUGGAUCCGCGCUGCAUUAGCUAGUUGGUAAGGUAACGGCUUACCAAGGCAACGAUGCAUAGCCGACCUGAGAGGGUGUUCGGCCACACUGGAACUGCGACACGGUCCAGACUCCUACGGGAGGCAGCAGUAGGGAAUCUUCCGCCAUGGGCUAAAGCCUGACGGAGCAACGCCGCGUGAGUGAUUAAGGUCUUCGGAUCGUAAAACUCUGUUAUUAGCGAAGAACAUAUGUGUAAGUAACUGUGCACAUCUUGACGGUACCUAAUCAGAAAGCCACGGCUAACUACGUG